UACAGCCAUAUGAUGUUGAAACACCGGUUCUCGUACGAUUACUGAUGUUAAGCAACGUCGAGCCUGGUCAGCACCUUGAUGGGUGACCGCUUGGGAAUAUCAGGUGCUGUAAG
rnacentral:rRNA from 1 species